AACGAACGCUGGCGGCAUGCCUAACACAUGCAAGUCGAACGAGACCUUCGGGUCUAGUGGCGCACGGGUGCGUAACGCGUGGGAACCUGCCCUUAGGUUCGGAAUAACUCCCCGAAAGGGGUGCUAAUACCGGAUAAUGUCUUCGGACCAAAGAUUUAUCGCCUUUGGAUGGGCCCGCGUUGGAUUAGCUAGUUGGUAGGGUAAAAGCCUACCAAGGCGACGAUCCAUAGCUGGUCUGAGAGGAUGAUCAGCCACACUGGGACUGAGACACGGCCCAGACUCUUACGGGAGGCAGCAGUGGGGAAUAUUGGACAAUGGGCGAAAGCAUGAUCCAGCAAUGCCGCGUGAGUGAUGAAGGCCUUAGGGUUGUAAAGCUCUUUUACCCGGGAUGAUAAUGACAGUACCGGGAGAAUAAGCUCCGGCUAACUCCGUG
rnacentral:rRNA from 1 species